AUAUAAAAAUAAUAAAA
rnacentral:sRNA from 1 species